AUAAAAAGGGGAGCUCGCGCAAGCGGGCUGAGAGUAAGCUGACAGCGCUUAGACCCGUGAACCUGAUUUGGAUAAUGCCAACGUAGGGAAGCUUUUA
rnacentral:ncRNA from 1 species